rnacentral:tRNA from 1 species
UCUCCUGUAAGCUCAGUGGUAGAGCGUCCGACCGUGUGGCGGAAGGUCAUAGGUUUCGGCUCCUGUUGGAGGAA